rnacentral:rRNA from 1 species
UGGCGAACGGGUGAGUAACGCGUGAGGAACCUGCCUCAUACAGGGGGAUAACAGUUAGAAAUGACUGCUAAUACCGCAUAAGACCACGGAGCCGCAUGGCUCAGUGGGAAAAACUCCGGUGGUAUGAGAUGGACCCGCGUCUGAUUAGGUAGUUGGUGGGGUAACGGCCUACCAAGCCAACGAUCAGUAGCCGACCUGAGAGGGUGACCGGCCACAUUGGGACUGAGACACGGCCCAA